GGGUGCAGGGGGCACACCUGGAACCAGGCCCUCCGGAACAGUCACUGCAGCGCUUUCUCUAUGGGUCCACACUGGGGCAGGGGAGGCAGCCCUGGUCCCACUGGCAGAGGGGCCAGAGGCUCAGAGAGGGGCACGCCUUGUGCAGCCGAGACGUGAAGAGAGACGCGAUCGAGUGACAGCAGAGGCAGUGUGACGAGGGCCAUCUGGGGACACCCUGAGGGUCAGGGAGCCUCCACCAAGGAGGGGAUGUCCACGCAGAAUCUUAGAAGGUGGCCAUAAAGAAGUGCAGCGGAAGAAAAAGAGUAAGGAGGUGUUUCUAAGAGAAGGGCACAGCCUGUGUGCAGAGAUGACUUGAAAUACCACUGAGUAGCUGAGAAGGUCAGGAUCACCCACAUUGAGGGGCUGGACCCGCGACCCAUGGCCGCACAGCAAGCAACCCCACAGCCCAGCGGCUUGAACGCCAUCCACUGUGUUAGCUCACAGUCCUGUGGGUCGGCAACUCGGGCUGGGCUGGCGGGGCCUUCCUUGGUCAGCGGGUCACCGUGGCUGGGGGGGUCAGUGGGGACGGAUGCUGGGUGCAGGCUGGGCCCUUCUCACCAUGUGGCCUCCAUCCUAGGAGGCCAGCCCGGGGCUCCUGCAAGUGCCUUCGUCUUCCAAGAGGGAGUGUGGGAGCUUGGCGACCUCACUCGUAAAUACUGCAUCACUUCGGCCAAUUUCUGCAGGUCAAAGCGAGUCAGAGGUGAGCUGAGAUCCAAGUGGUGGGGAAAUGAGCCUGGCCUCCGAGAGGGAGCCCCAGAACCUGGGACCCUUUUUGGUGCGGCGUGGGUUGGGGGUGGGGGCCUGCACAGGGAAGAGGCUGCAGUGCAGUCCAGGUACGUCACCGCCCACGGCUCAGGACUCCGCCUGUGGCCUCCACCCUGCAAGCAGGAAGCAGCCACGGUGGGUGACGGCAGGACGGUGACAGGGAGGAACUGCACUGGGCUUGUUCUGGCAGCAGGUGGAAUCCAGAGUUAGAGGAAAGCAGGCAAGGUGAGAGGCAGCAGGACUCCUCCAGAGUAUGCGGUGACUGCUCCCGGUCCAGUCUGUUGCUGCAAAUGGCAGAGAUGUGGCUGUGUCCAAACCGCUCUCCUUUAACUCCCGCUUCGGUUCUGGAUGAGGUCAGAGGCAUCGCAUUCAACAUUGGGCCGCAGCGGGCAAGGUCUGAGCAUCCUCCCAUUUUUCCGGUCUGACACGGAACCACAGAGGGUCAGACACGGGGACUCAGAGUAAAGCAGGCCUCCCUCUAGUGACAACAUUCGGAGAGAUGGGAGAUACCAGAAGUUUCUGGGGAGACAAGCUCCCUCCAGUAAUGCUCUGAAUGCCCAGAGCCAGCUUGGCCUGCAGAACCAUCUGGGAAUUCAGCAUCAGCCCUUCCAUAAACGCACUCAGAGGAGCACCUUCAUGGACAAGGUCCCACUUUCUGGGAGGUGAGAACCACUUUUUGGACAUUUUCAAAAACUGCGCUAAGCUACAGGACGAGCCGGUGCGUCCAGUGUUCAGAGGGGCCUGCCCGCCGUCUCUCUCGCCCGACUGAACGGUGAUGCGUGCUCACUCUCAGGGUCUUUUGCUCUGCAGCGGGUGAGACGACAGUAAGGAAAAACCCAAAAUCUGGGAUAGUAAUACAGUGUUGUCACUGGGUUCAUCCUCCUCCAUGAGGAUAAAGAGAUUGGGGAAAAAGUCCUCUUCAUCUCUCCCCAGUUCUAUUUGGACAACUGACACACAAUAUUACAAUUUUAUUUCUACAGUCGCCAAGGGAUGGUUUCUCUUCAGCUUCACGGGUCUGUGAGCGGCUGCGAUAGGCAUACGGGGGAGACCACCGACUAGGGCAGCACUCCCACUCCUGAGCUCCAAGUAAUCGCGGGGGACGGUGGAAGGCCAUGCAGACCAGCAAGCUCCCAGGAAAGCAGACACAAGCUGCACUGAGCACUGAAGACGGAGAGCUUCAGGGGGAAACCCAAUUACCACACUCAACAAUUAAACGGGAGCUUAGCUUUGCAGAAGUUCAAAUUUUU